GGAGAAGAGAUACACAAUUACUGACAUGGACUGAGGUCUUCUCGAGGUAGGGACUCUUCUGUCCGAGAGUGUGUGUGUUUGAGUGAGAGAGAGAAAGAAAGGACAGAAGAGGCCGAUGGAAGUCACAUGCCUAAUUUACUGAAGUUAAUUCUUAAUGUAGCACCAGUGCAGAACGUCAUCUGACAUGACACACACACACACACACACAAACACAGUAUGUCCUUUCUCUCUUUACGACCGCCUCAUUAAAAGAUGAAAGCGCUUAGGAGCUUCCUGUUGCAUGCUGGGAAGUACCUCAUUGUGACAGACAGCUGCAAGUUCAGAUAUCAUUGUUAUGACAACUGGUGUACUGUGCAACAUAGCUUACACUUCUCAUUUAAGCUUUGUUGAGAUUCUUCUGUAAAAGAGGAAAAGUACUGCUACGAAGGGGACUUUUCAGAGAUGGACAAAUAUGGCAGGACAAUUGUCACUCGCUCGGUGAAAAACAUUCCUUGGUGUGUACAGUAACAUUCUCAGGUUUCAUUGAGGGAGUGGAAAAUGUUGCUCAAUGUGGUAGUAAAUAGUCACAGCGCACAUGCUCAGGAACUCACAUGCUCAGAAAGCGAGAUAUACAGACAAAAGAAGACAAACAUGUUGGGACAGUACAAUAACCCAGCCAUGCAUAUUCCCCACGCAGAGACCCACCAUGGAAGCAUGAGUGUACAUGUGCACUGAAGUGUGUUCCAUUUCCCAGUUGUCUUGAAAGCACCAUAAAUCCAGAGAAUGCCAGACUUUGAUGACAACAUUGCCCCACGAAGGACCGCCGCGCCAACUUCCUGUUCAAGUGAGCACAGCACAACAAGGUGAGUAAAACAUUUAUUGCAUGCUGCUGCAUAAAUUAUGUCAUAUUCCAGGGAGAUAUGUAUAUUGUUGCUAAGAAAGUAAUGCUAAGUGUAUGUUUCUAUAGUAAGCUGUUAGUAGCCCAUGUGCCUCACCCUAAUCAUUUUGUUCCUUUUCCCCUCUUAACCUAACCUACUGUUCUGACUUGGUGGUGCACAUGUAGCCUAUAGCCUGUUUUAGAGAAAUGUCAUUGUCUGCCUUUAUGCCCACUUAUCAUUUGGUUCUGACUUGGUGUACAGGGAGAAUACUGUAAGAACAACCCAUGUUCUGAAUUCUGUUGCUGUACAUUUCAAAAGUGCUGAACAAAUAGUUAUAUUGACUACGCCCGUCCUAGCUCGCUCAUUAAUGUCUUAAUCGAAAUUACAGAUUGCCUUGUCGCCCCCUUAUGCCAUAGUUUGUAGGUCUCAAUUGACAGUAGAAACGACAUUUGUUUAAGCAAGUCAGCCGUAUCAGCUAUGUUUUUUUUAAAGGCAGUAAAUUAAGCUGAAUGAAUUGUUUCUCUGCCAGACAAGGCUCCACUGAUAGCCAGGUGUAGCAGUGGUUAGGUUUUGGGACAGCUUUAUGUAGGCCCUAAUAGUUUGUGGGCACUGUAUUUGUUAGCUAUAAUAUUGUUAUAAUGCCUUCAUUAUUAAAGCAGACGUGGUUGUAACACUUUGCUGCACCCCACAGAUGAACCAGUUCUGCCUGUGCCAGAUACUAACCUUACUCCCACACACACACAGAGAGAGAUGGCUGACACAAACCAUUUAUGAGCACUGAUAAGGCAGGGGGCGCUCUGACCUCAGGCGCCAGUUGCUGGUGUCUGCUUCAACAUCUUGUCAAUACAAGAGACAACCCAGACCGGCAUGGCACUCAACGAGCAUGCGCAUGCAUAUACACACACACACACACAAACCCCUGUUUCAGGCGGGAGUUCCAAGGACAAAGAACACUACUGAGAACCAAUGGAACAUUGAUAUCAGCCUGAAGGGGACCGCCCUCCACUCACAGCGACCAGUCAGGAGAGCAGAACUACUAGAAUCUAACUACGUCAUUUCACUGUAUAAAAUGUAUUGCAGAAUAUGAGUCGGGGCUCCUCCUGCUAGCUCCCUCUGAGCUAAAUGGACGAGCCCGUGCACGUGUUGUCAGAUAUCUUUGCAACUUAUUAAACUGCCUUAAAUAUCAUACCUUA